rnacentral:rRNA from 1 species
GGGAUUGCCCUAGUAACGGCGAGUGAAGCGGCAACAGCUCAAAUUUGAAAUCUGGCUCUUUCAGAGUCCGAGUUGUAAUUUGCAGAGGGCGCUUUGGCGUUGGCAGCGGUCCAAGUUCUUUGGAACAGGACGUCACAGAGGGUGAGAAUCCCGUACGUGGUCGCUAGCCUUCGCCGUGUAAAGCCCCUUCGACGAGUCGAGUUGUUUGGGAAUGCAGCUCUAAAUGGGAGGUAAAUUUCUUCUAAAGCUAAAUACUGGCCAGAGACCGAUAGCGCACAAGUAGAGUGAUCGAAAGAUGAAAAGCACUUUGGAAAGAGAGUCAAAUAGCACGUGAAAUUGUUGAAAGGGAAGCGCUUGCAGCCAGACUUGCCUGUAGUUGCUUAUCCGGACUUUUGUCCGGUGCACUCUUCUGCGGGCAGGCCAGCAUCAGUUUGGGCGGUUGGAUAAAGGUCUCUGUCAUGUACCUCCUUUCGGGGAGGCCUUAUAGGGGAGACGACAUGCAACCAGCCUGGACUGAGGUCCGCGCAUCUGCUAGGAUGCUGGCGUAAUGGCUGUAAGCGGCCCGUCUUGAAACACGGACCAAGGAGUCUAACAUCUAUGCGAGUGUUUGGGUGUCAAGCCCAGACGCGUAAUGAAAGUGAACGGAGGUGGGAACCCUUUGGGUGCACCAUCGACCGAUCCUGAUGUCUUCGGAUGGAUUUGAGUAAGAGCAUGGCUGUUGGGACCCGAAAGAUGGUGAACUAUGCUUGAAUAGGGUGAAGCCAGAGGAAACUCUGGUGGAGGCUCGCAGCGGUUCUGACGUGCAAAUCGAUCGUCAAAUUUGGGCAUAGGGGCG